AGCUUGCUCUCCGGAGUGACGAGCGGCGGACGGGUGAGUAAUGUCUGGGAAACUGCCUGAUGGAGGGGGAUAACUACUGGAAACGGUAGCUAAUACCGCAUAACGUCUUCGGACCAAAGUGGGGGACCUUCGGGCCUCACGCCAUCAGAUGUGCCCAGAUGGGAUUAGCUAGUAGGUGGGGUAAUGGCUCACCUAGGCGACGAUCCCUAGCUGGUCUGAGAGGAUGACCAGCCACACUGGAACUGAGACACGGUCCAGACUCCUACGGGAGGCAGCAGUGGGGAAUAUUGCACAAUGGGCGCAAGCCUGAUGCAGCCAUGCCGCGUGUGUGAAGAAGGCCUUCGGGUUGUAAAGCACUUUCAGCGAGGAGGAAGGGUGGUGUGUUAAUAGCGCAUCACAUUGACGUUACUCGCAGAAGAAGCACCGGCUAACUCCGUGCCAGCAGCCGCGGUAAUACGGAGGGUGCAAGCGUUAAUCGGAAUUACUGGGCGUAAAGCGCACGCAGGCGGUUUGUUAAAUCAGAUGUGAAAUCCCCGCGCUUAACGUGGGAACUGCAUUUUGAAACUGGCAAGCUA
rnacentral:rRNA from 1 species